GUUUUCUGGCUGAAGUCAUAAGGAAGUAGAAAUACAAAACAAUGGCCAUGAAGGAAUCCUGACUGUACAAGGGCCAAGCUGAACACUGAAUAGCAAAAAAAAAAAAAAAAGUAGUCUUGUGAAUGGACAUACUACAUCGGAAGGCCUAAAGGGUGGGACUGUUUGGAGAGAGCAGCAUUUGGCAUUUAAUUUUGUGUCUGUGGAGCGCUUCUAGUCCUGAGCUGAGACUACAUUGCAAUGGACAAUUGGAUGACUCCAUCAAUCCAACUAGUGUCAAGUGGAUGAGACAAAACAAGAAGGCAAAAGUACCACUUGCAAACAGAUCUUGAACUUUUUUAAAAGAUUAAAUCUGACCUUUUUACAUGUG